ensembl:snRNA U6 U6 spliceosomal RNA
GUACUCACUUUAGCAGCUCAUAUACUAAAAUUGGAAUGAUGCAGAGAUUAGCAUGGUGCCUGCACAAGGAUGACAUGCAAAUUCAUGAAGCAUUCCAUAUUUUU